GGAGAAGUAGUUCAAUGGUUAGAAUCCUCGCAGUCAGCUUGCGAGGGAUGUUGGUUCGAAUCCGACCUUCUUCG
rnacentral:tRNA from 1 species